AUGAACGGCCACAUUGGGACUGAGACACGGCCCAGACUCCUACGGGAGGCCAGCAGUGGGGGAAUCUUCCACAAUGGGGCGAAAGCCUGAUGGAGCAACGCCGCGUGAGUGAAGAAGGUCUUCGGAUCGUAAAGCUCUGUUGGCACGGGACGAAAACCGAGCUUGAGAAUAUUGAGUUUGGGUGACGGUACCGAGCGAGGAAGCCACGGCUAACUACGUGCCAGCAGCCGCGGUAA
rnacentral:rRNA from 1 species